rnacentral:rRNA from 1 species
CAGCCGCCGCGGUAAUACGUAGGGUGCAAGCGUUAAUCGGAAUUACUGGGCGUAAAGCGUGCGCAGGCGGUUAUAUAAGACAGAUGUGAAAUCCCCGGGCUCAACCUGGGAACUGCAUUUGUGACUGUAUAGCUAGAGUACGGCAGAGGGGGAUGGAAUUCCGCGUGUAGCAGUGAAAUGCGUAGAUAUGCAGAGGAACACCGAUGGCGAAGGCAAUCCCCUGGGCCUGUACUGACGCUCAUGCACGAAAGCGUGGGGAGCAAACAGGAUUAGAUACCCGCGUAGUCCCUGUCUCUUAUAC